GGAGUUGGCCAGGCAGUCGCUGCGCGGUUCGCCGCGUAGAGGAAAGUCCGGGCUCCAUAGGGCAGAGUGCCAGGUAACGCCUGGGCGCUAUAAGUCGAAAGACCCAAGGCGACGGAAAGUGCAACAGAAAAAAUACCGCCGAUGGCUGGUCGCAAGACCAGAUCAGGCAAGGUUGAAAUGGCGAGGUAAGAGCUCACCGCGGACGUGGCAACACGGACGGCAAGGUAAACCCCACUCGGAGCAAAGCCAAAUAGGCAGGCGCGUUUUUUAACAUCGGCGGCUCGCCGAAGUCUGCGGGUAGGCUGCUUGAGGCGAUGGGCGACCAUCGUCCCAGAUGAAUGACUGUCCACGACAGAACCCGGCUUAUCGGCCAACUCCACUU
rnacentral:RNase_P_RNA from 1 species